GCCCCCGCACUGGGCCCUUAUGCGCUUUGCUUCCAGUUCCACCGACUGCAGCAUCUUUCUUUGCUAGCUGCCCGGGUCCUGCUCCGCUUCGCAGUGGAAUGGAACGGAUUUAGAAGCCUGCAGUAGGGGAGUGGGGAGUGGAGAGAGGGAGCCCAGAGUUACAGACGGCGGCGAGAGGAAGGAGGGGCGUCUUUAUUUUUUUAAGGCCCCAAAGAGUCUGAUGUUUACAAGACCAGAAAUGCCACGGCCGCGUCCUGGCAGAGAAAAGGCUGAAAUGGAGGACCGGCGCCUUCCUUAUAAGUAUGCACAUUGGCGAGAGAAGUGCUGCAACCUAAACCAGCAAUUACACCCAAGCUCGUUGGGGCCUAAGCCAGUACCGACCUGGUAGAAAAAGCAACCACGAAGCUAGAGAGAGAGCCAGAGGAGGGAAGAGAGCGCCAGACGAAGGUGAAAGCGAACCACGCAGAGAAAUGCAGGCAAGGGAGCAAGGCGGCAGUUCCCGGAACAAACGUGGCAGAGGGCAAGACGGGCACUCACAGACAGAGGUUUAUGUAUUUUUAUUUUUUAAAAUCUGAUUUGGUGUUCCAUGAGGAAAAGGGAAAAUCUAGGGAACGGGAGUACAGAGAGAAUAAUCCGGGUCCUAGCUCGCCACAUGAACGCCCAGAGAACGCUGGAAAAACCUGAGCGGGUGCCGGGGCAGCACCCGGCUCGGGUCAGCCACUGCCCCACACCGGGCCCACCAAGCCCCGCCCCUCGCGGCCACCGGGGCUUCCUUGCUCUUCUUAUCAUCUCCAUCUUUAUGAUGAGGCUUGUUAACAAGACCAGAGAGCUGGCCAAGCACCUCUAUCUCAGCCGCGCCCGCUCAGCCGAGCAGCGGUCGGUGGGGGGACUGGGAGGCGCUAAUUAAUUGAUUCCUUUGGACUGUAAAAUAUGGCGGCGUCUACACGGAACCCAUGGACUCAUAAACAAUAUAUCUGUUGGGCGUGAGUGCACUGUCUCUCAAAUAAUUUUUCCAUAGGCAAAUGUCAGAGGGUUCUGGAUUUUUAGUUGCUAAGGAAAGAUCCAAAUGGGACCAAUUUUAGGAGGCCCAAACAGAGUCCGUUCAGUGUCAGAAAAUGCUUCCCCAAAGGGGUUGGGAGUGUGUUUUGUUGGAAAAAAGCUUGGGUUAUAGGAAAGCCUUUCCCUGCUACUUGUGUAGACCCAGCCCAAUUUAAGAAUUACAAGGAAGCGAAGGGGUUGUGUAGGCCGGAAGCCUCUCUGUCCCGGCUGGAUGCAGGGGACUUGAGCUGCUCCGGAAUUUGAGAGGAACAUAGAAGCAAAGGUCCAGCCUUUGCUUCGUGCUGAUUCCUAGACUUAAGAUUCAAAAACAAAUUUUUAAAAGUGAAACCAGCCCUAGCCUUUGGAAGCUCUUGAAGGUUCAGCACCCACCCAGGAAUCCACCUGCCUGUUACACGCCUCUCCAAGACACAGUGGCACCGCUUUUCUAACUGGCAGCACAGAGCAACUCUAUAAUAUGCUUAUAUUAGGUCUAGAAGAAUGCAUCUUGAGACACAUGGGUAACCUAAUUAUAUAAUGCUUGUUCCAUACAGGAGUGAUUAUGCAGUGGGACCCUGCUGCAAACGGGACUUUGCACUCUAAAUAUAGACCCCAGCUUGGGACAAAAGUUGCAGUAGAAAAAUAGACAUAGGAGAACACUUAAAUAAGUGAUGCAUGUAGACACAGAAGGGGUAUUUAAAAGACAGAAAUAAUAGAAGUACAGAAGAACAGAAAAAAAAUCAGCAGAUGGAGAUUACCAUUCCCAAUGCCUGAACUUCCUCCUGCUAUUAAGAUUGCUAGAGAAUUGUGUCUUAAACAGUUCAUGAACCCAGAAGAAUGCAAUUUCAAUGUAUUUAGUACACACACAGUAUGUAUAUAAACACAACUCACAGAAUAUAUUUUCCAUACAUUGGGUAGGUAUGCACUUUGUGUAUAUAUAAUAAUGUAUUUUCCAUGCAGUUUUAAAAUGUAGAUAUAUUAAUAUCUGGAUGCAUUUUCUGUGCACUGGUUUUAUAUGCCUUAUGGAGUAUAUACUCACAUGUAGCUAAAUAGACUCAGGACUGCACAUUCCUUGUGUAGGUUGUGUGUGUGUGGUGGUUUUAUGCAUAAAUAAAGUUUUACAUGUGGU
rnacentral:lncRNA from 1 species